UUGACACCAUUGCUUUAAAUGGCACUCCACCUUAAUGUCGACAUAUCGGCCAAUGAUUGACAGCUUAUAAUGCUGAAUGAAGGUAACUGUAUUCUGGUCUUCAUUUAAAACAUCUAAACCAUUAAUAUCGUAAGUGAUACCGAUACACUGAUAGGACGUGCGACCAGGCCAUACGCCUAGUAAGAUAUCGUUCGUGUAACAUCUAUAGGUAUAGCACUACACGCUACAGUUAUGGACCAUUUCCUUAGGCACUGACAUAAAUUCUUAGAACUGUAUUUUGUCUACUGUAUUAUGAUUGCUUCGUUAACCUGAUGAUGUUGAUUAUAAUUCGCAUGAUUUUGUUAAUAUUUUCUUUGUUAAUGUUAUCGACGAACUGUGCGGGGAAGGAUUUUCGUCUUGGAUUUCUUGUUCCUUGGGACGGAUUUUGGCCAGUUGGUCAACGAGCUGGAGGAGCUAUGACGGUGGCUAUUGAGACGAUCAACAAUGACUCGAAUUUUAGCGCAAUCCACGAUGGCGGACACACACUUAGUUUCAUAUGGAAUGAUACAGAUUGUGAUACUUCAAAGGGAUUAGCUAGCAUAUUAGACAUGUACGAAAAGUAUUCAGUUGAUGCGUUCAUUGGCCCAGGAUGCAGUGUCAUCUGCGAACCAGGCGGUUACCUUGCAAACCACUGGAAGACACCAAUGAUCUCGUGGUCAUGUUCAAGCAGCGCUCUGUCUGACAAAAAUCAGUACCCUAACUUUGCCAGGUCAACUGCCCCCACCGAAAAAAUGUCGCCGUUCUUUGUAGAAAUCAUGAAACAUUUUGAAUUUUCAAGGGUAGGCAUUUACUUUUCAUCUCAACAUAUAUGGUCACUUGCGGCAGAUGCUUUUAGGAAUGCAUUUAGAGAAAAUGGUAUAGAAGUCUCAAUUUACCAAGUAUUUGAGCCAGGGAGCGAUAAUGAAAAACAUUCAAGUGGGCAUCAAGAUGCAUCCGAUUCCGUCAGUACGUUACAGAUUGAAGGGGAUGCGUUAGCGGAAGCUAAAUUAUUAGCUAAAGUAUUUAUCAUUCUAGCGUAUGGAAGCGAUGUACGCAACUUUUUGCUAUUGGCCAAAGCUGGUGACAUGAUCAAUGGCGAGUACGCAUUUUUCUCUAUCGAAGUCCCGUUGGCUUCGCGCUUCGGCGAGAACGGAUGGAUGGGGAACGAUACGAAGGACGAUGAUGCAAUAGAAGCUUUCGAAGGUUUACUUGACGUAAAAUUACUGGAACCAUCGUGUCCUGAAUAUGAAGAAUUCAAAAAAGAGGUCAGGCUAAAAACUAGUCAAUCGCCAUUUUAUUACAGCUUACCUCAAGAUGAACAGGUAUUAUUAGAAGCUGCCUUAAUAUACGAUUCUGUGUACUUGUAUGCACUAGCAUUGAAUAAGAGUCUAGGCAAUGGGAUGGAUCCAAGUGACAGCGGUCAUGUAGGCGAAAACCUAUUUGAUUGGGAAUUCAAUGGUGCUGAUGGACUGGUAUCUAUUGAUUUACUUGGAGAUCGCCGGCCGAAUUACAUGCUGCAGAAUAUUCAAAACGGCACCUUUGUUACAAUAGCAUCUUUUCAGAGUAGAGGUGCUGUGUUUGAAGAGGUUUCAAGUGUGGUAGUGUGGCCCGGGGGUGGACUUGAAAAACCACACGGAAUACCAGACUGUGGCUGGGACAAUGAAUUCUGUGAAGUUACUCCAAUCGAUAAAGUAGUGGUUCUUGGCGUAUUUGCUGUUGUUUUACUAUUAUUCAUCAUAUGCACGAUAGUCUAUAUCUUACACAGAAAUCAUCUCUACGAACAAGAACUUGAGAAUAUGUCAUGGCGGAUUGAUUACUCGGAUAUUUCGUUUGAAGCCGAAGAUGAACUAACUACUAUUUUUGGAACGAACUCGUUCCCUAGAAGUCACGCAAGCAUCGCCAAACUAAGCGAUCGUGUCGGAACUUUAAAUAGCAGCACACUAUCCUUGGUCGGUGAUUUAAGAUAUACAAAGGUUGGCUGUUACAUUGGGACGCGUGUCGCAAUUAAGCAAAUCCGCAGAAGUUCCUCAAUUCAACUCAAUAGACAGAUUCUCAAAGAAUUUAAAGAUGUCCGAGAGUUAAACCAUUUGAAUGUAAACCAGAUCGUAGGAGCGUGCAUCGAGGCACCAAAUAUCUGUAUUUUGACAAACUACUGUAGCCGAGGCAGCUUACAGGAUGUUUUAAUGAACGACCACAUCAAACUGGACUAUCUCUUCAAAUGGUCUUUUGCGUCGGAUAUUGCUAAAGGUAUGGCAUAUUUACACGGCACGCCUAUCGAGGCACACGGGCGUUUGAAUUCCUCCAAGUGUUUGGUGGAUAGUCGUUGGGUUUGUAAAAUCUCCGAUUUCGGACUAAAUAGCCUGCGAUGUGACCAGGAGUUAAAUCAAGGAACACGCGAAAGAUAUUAUUCAAAGCAACUGUGGACAGCUCCAGAACUUCUUCGUCAAAACUACCCACGAUGCCGCAGUACAAAACAGGGGGAUACUUAUUCAUAUGGCAUCAUUCUUCAGGAAAUAAUUUUGAGGGACGCCCCCUAUUGUAUGAUAGAAAUGGAAGCAGAAGAAAUAAUCUGUAAGAUUAGAACCAUUAGUAAUCCUCCAUUUCGGCCAGAAGUCGACGACAAAGACACCAACUACAGUAAGGUUGUCCGUUUGAUGAAAACUUGCUGGGAUGAAGACCCAAGCUGCAGACCUCCGUUUAGUUAUAUCAUUAACUAUCUAAAGAGGGUGUCAGGUGGAAACUUUAGUAUCGUUGACCUAUUACAUGGUCCUCGAUUGAGAACAAGUUGUCGUUUUCAGAAGUGGGAAUCUUAUAGACAACAUGGUUGCAAUGCUGGAGAAGCAUGCCGUACACUUAGAGGAACUUGUGACUGAAAGGACAAAACAACUGGCAGAUGAGAAAUUGAAGACUGACGCUUUACUCUACCAAAUGCUACCAAAAUCGGUGGCUGACAGUCUAAAACGUGGCAAAGUUGUUCAGCCAGAGAGUUUUGAAGAGGUGACGAUAUUUUUCAGCGACAUUGUAGAAUUCACCAAGUUAGCAGCCGAGAGCAGUCCUUUGCAG
rnacentral:misc_RNA from 1 species